rnacentral:rRNA from 1 species
UACGUAGGGUGCGAGCGUUACUCGGAAUUACUGGGCGUAAAGGGUGCGCAGGCGGUCUCGUAAGCUGGGUGUGAAAGCCCCGGGCUUAACCUGGGAAUGGCAUUCAGGACUGCGAGGCUUUGAGUGUGGCAGAGGGAGGUGGAAUUCCACGUGUAGCAGUGAAAUGCGUAGAGAUGUGGAGGAACACCGAUGGCGAAGGCAGCCUCCUGGGCCAGCACUGACGCUCAUGCACGAAAGCGUGGGGAGCAAACAGG